rnacentral:rRNA from 1 species
CUACGGGUGGCUGCAGUAGGGAAUAUUGGGCAAUGGACGCAAGUCUGACCCAGCCACGCCGCGUGAAGGAUGACUGCCCUAUGGGUUGUAAACUUCUUUUGUAUGGGAAGAAACCUCCGAACGUGUUCGGAGCUGACGGUACCAUAAGAAUAAGCAUCGGCUAACUCCGUGCCAGCAGCCGCGGUAAUACGGAGGAUGCAAGCGUUCUCCGGAUUCAAAGGGUUUAAAGGGGGCGAAGGAAGUCAAUUAAGAAAGCUCGCAGCUUAACUGUGAAAAUGCCAUUGAAACUGAUUUUCUUGAGUUCGAUUGAGGUAGAUGGAAUGUAUCAUGUAGCGGUGAAAUGCUUAGAUAUGAUACAGAACACCAAUUGCGAAGGCAGUCUACUAAGUCGAUACUGACGCUGAGGCACGAAAGCAUGGGGAGCAAACAGGAUUAGAUACCCGGGUAGUC